rnacentral:misc_RNA from 1 species
GAUGAAGAACGUAGUGAAAUGCGAUAAGUAAUGUGAAUUGCAGAAUUCAGUGAAUCAUCGAAUCUUUGAACGCACAUUGCGCCCGCCAGUAUUCUGGCGGGCAUGCCUGUUCGAGCGUCAUUUCAACCAUCAAGCCCCCGGCUUGUGUUGGGGACCUGCGGCUGCCGCAGGCCCUGAAAAGCAGUAGCGGGCUCGCUGUCACACCGAGCGUAGUAGCAUACAUCUCGCUCUGGGCGUGCUGCGGGUUCCGGCCGUUAAACCACCUUCAUAACCCAAGGUUGACCUCGGAUCAGGUAGGAAGACCCGCUGAACUUAAGCAUAUCAAUAAGCGGAGGA